GAUGAACGCUGGCGGCGUGCCUAAUACAUGCAAGUCGAGCGAACAGACGAGGAGCUUGCUCCUCUGACGUUAGCGGCGGACGGGUGAGUAACACGUGGAUAACCUACCUAUCAGACUGGGAUAACUUCGGGAAACCGGAUCUAAUACCGUAUAAUAUAUUGCACCGCAUGGUUCAAUAGUGAAAGACGGUUUUGCUGUCACUUAUAGAUGGAUCCGCGCCGCAUUAGCUAGUUGGUAAGGUAACGGCUUACCAAGGCGACGAUGCGUAGCCGAGCUGAGAGGGUGAUCGGCCACACUGGAACUGAGACACGGUCCAGACUCCUACGGGAGGCAGCAGUAGGGAAUCUUCCGCAAUGGGCGAAAGCUUGACGGAGCAACGCCGCGUGAGUGAUGAAGGUCUUCGGAUCGUAAAACUCUGUUAUUAGGGAAGAACAAAUGUGUAAGUAACUAUGCACGUCUUGACGGUACCUAAUCAGAAAGCCACGGCUAACUACGUG
rnacentral:rRNA from 1 species